CAAAAAAUCAAAAGCUGCAGUCUUCUAUAAUAACUUUCACGCUUCUGUUACAUAACCUGUUGGUUUUACACUAAUUAAUUUAAUCGUGAAGCCCAUUCCUCUGUCUAAUGUCUCCUUUCUUCUCCUGUUAAGUUCCUACAGAGCUCACUGUGUUCUGUGGAACGUCUGGAAUGCUGUGCUUUUUCUGCCCAGCUUCAGCUCUCAGCACAGGUGGAAGCUAAGAGCUGCGGGGCCACCAGUCUCAGCAUGGACAGAAUUACAGCCGUUUCCAUAGAGAUCUGUCACCACAACUAAUGGUAUCACUUCUAUAGGAUUGCUGCUCAUUGUGUAGUUCAGAGCACAAAGAAUAUCUCAGGAUUACAAACUUCAGCUUUGACGACUCCUUUUGCCGGUGUACGUAAGAGGAGCGGACCAGGUCACUGUGUUUACAGGAUUUACCCCGUUACUUGGCUCGUUUCAGCACCGAGGAUUGAACUGAGCCUUAGCCCUGGCUUCACGGGCUGCCCUUGUCCUGGUGGGUCACUCAGUCGGACUGAUGUGGAAUGCAACCUCUAGUGACCCCCUCCCAGAGGUCUCCAUUCAGUGAGCAGCACCAGAAAGAGUGGGGAUAAAAGACAAGAGGACCUGAAACAAAAAAGAGAGAAGGAGCAGCAGCAGCAGGAGCGUUCAGCCGGGUUGGAAAGUUAAAGGGGGCGAGGAGCUUAAAAUCCCUGGUAAAAGAAAGAGUGGAAAGCGUGAGUAUAAAAGACAUUUUUGCUGCUUUUCUGGACAUUUAAAAGCUCAAAGGGGGACUGACAAGCCUCAGCUCCAGCUACAC
rnacentral:lncRNA from 1 species